rnacentral:rRNA from 1 species
GUGCCAGCCGCCGCGGUAAUACCGGCAGCCCGAGUGAUGGCCGGUCUUAUUGGGCCUAAAGCGUCCGUAGCUGGCUGCGCAAGUCCGUCGGGAAAUCCACUCGCCCAACGAGUGGGCGUCCGACGGAAACUGCAUAGCUUGGGACCGGAAGGCUCGAAGGGUACGUUCGGGGUAGGAGUGAAAUCCUAUAAUCCCGCACGGACCACCGAUGGCGAAACCACCUCAGGAGGAUGGACCCGACAGUGAGGGACGAAAGCUAGGGUCUCGAACCGGAUUAGAAACCCCAGUAGUCC